UAGGAGCGUGAGUCUGGAGGUAGAGUCGUGUUAGGAGCGUGAGUCUGGAGGUAGAGUCGUGUUAGGAGCGUGAGUCUGGAGGUAGAGCUGUGUUAGGAGCGUGAGUCUGGAGGUAGAGUCGUGUUAGGAGCGUGAGUGAGGAGGUAGAGUCGUGUUAGGAGCGUGAGUGAGGAGGUAGAGUCGUGUUAGGAGCGUGAGUCUGGAGGUAGUUAAUGAAGGGAUUUGCUGUGUUGUAUUUACUCAUUAUAAAGAAGAAUGGAAGACAGUGGUGUCACGCUGGUCUUAAAUCAUUAUCUUCUCAGAUAAUCCGGAUUAAAAAGUGUGUAAAGUCCAAUCUUUAACUCCUCUCAUCUACUCAGUCUGAUCACGACUAUCAAUUAAAAGGCUAAAAUAAUUUUAAAAUUAAAUAUUAAACAGAAAACUGCAGAUGAGCCAAUCAGCAUAUGAAUCUGGAAUGAUUGACAGGUGCUAUAACAAAGCAUCAUCAUCAUCGUUUAAAUCAUAUACAGCUUGUUGUUAGGUUCUAACGCUAGUUCAGUAAUGUGCUAAUGAGUGUGUAGUGAUUUAGCAGUGUUUAUCACCUCGCUAUAAUCUUUAAUAUACACAUGAGUGUGUGUGUGUGUGUGUGUGUGUGUGUGUGUGUGUGUGUGUGAGAGAGAGAGAGAGAGAGAAAGAGAGUAAUGUAAACAAGAACCCUGGACAAAAAGCCCUGUGCAACAAACUAUGUCUUCUAGAAUCAACCAUUAAAGACCCCCAGAACCUUUUGGAGUCUACAAUACACCAGCUGAGAGUUGUACAGUGGUGAGCAGUUAGUUCUUGCUUGAUUCCUCCGAUAAAGUGGUAGCAUUAGCGAAUGUGGCUGAUCUGUAGUGAGUGAUUUCAGUCUGAUUCCAGGUCUGAGUAAUGCCAUAUUGAGGAAAACAGCCCAUUUAUUUUUUAUCUGAUGUUCAGAAAAUUGUCCUCAUUGUUAAAAUUUAGUAACCGCCUGCUCCUGAUGAGCAGAGUGGUGAGAAUGAUAGGAAGAGGAUUCCUUAAGAGAGUGAGAGCACAAAUGCCAGUCCAAUUAGUGGGGAGGUAGAAAUAGGCCUGGGAGCCACAUAUCCAAUACCAAUCUGGCUUAAACAGUGAUCCUAUCCUGCCAGGGUGGAGAAGUGAACAUGGUGGGGUGCUGCAGGAGCAGCUGGGAGUGUAUUCUCCUAGAAUAAUUAAGUUUGAAAAGACUGGUAGGGCACCAAAAUCCUCCCCCUGAACGAUGAACACAGACCGUGGUAUAUGACAAUGCCAUGUGAAAGAACAAGGAGUGCAUUCAGUGGAACUGUUGUUGAUAAAAUGCCCCAUUGUCCAUCGAUAAAGAUUACCACGUGCCAUUUCAGUGAGAGUAACAUUAACUGUAGAACUAAGGGAAUGCAGGGAAGAGGGGUUGUCUACUGAGGAUGGCAGAACGGCACAUGUAUAGCAGUGAGUCGAGAUGUUAUGCUGGCGAGCGGUGAGAUUAGCAUAUUGCCAAAGGGUGUUAUGUGAGUAAAGGUGAAGCCCUGUGAUUAGUGUGGGAGCCAGGAGAUACAGAGCCAUAAGGCUAGAUAAUAGAGGAGUGGUUUCAUUGGGAGGAUCAACUUGUAUGUGCUCCCAAGUCUAGUGCAAUAAAAUCUAUAUGUGUUAAGGUGAGACGAGAAGAGCCCCCCUAAGGCCUUUGUCAGGUGAGCUUGUUCUAGUUGGGCACCAUUUCAGUCUCCUGGCGUGGAUCCCCUGGGGUUGAGAGUCAGUGAGUACAGCAGUGUGAGUUGUAGGAGCUCCAAAGGCGGCUUCUCCAACUUUCCAGGGGUUGAGACUUUUCACCAGUACUGCAUCACCUGGGAGAAAGGGGUGAGUAGGUUUCUCUGCAGGUAAAGGGAGAGAAGCAGAGACAUUACCAUGCACACUGUUCAAUUUUUCAAUUAAGGUUUAUAUCGGCCUAUAAUCGCCGAUAAUCACACUCAGGUCACCUGUAAAAGAAACACCAGGGAUAGCUUUAGUCCACAGUUGGAACUGGUCUGCCCAUUAUAAUUUCAGAAGGAG
ensembl:lncRNA